CAGUUCGGCUGCUCUGCUCCCAGUCGUGCGUUGACGACCCAAACUUGCAGGUUGUAACAGAAUGUCUGGUGGAUGGAAUUUUUGGGAUGCAAGAGAUAGUAAGGUUGUUUUUUCAAUAAAAAAACUCUUGUAUUUUGUUUGUGGUCAUGACUCUAUAACAGCCGGCCGUAUUUUUAUCGGGUCAUACGGCCGUUCCAACGAACCAUGCGCACGCAGCUCAGGUGUGUCUGAAAUACCAGUCCCACUCCCACAUGGGUUCUCUCGGAGUCGUUCUCAGCCUCUCAAGUCUGUUCAUUUUGUUCUCAUCCCCCCUCUCUCUAGGGUUCCUUUCUCUCCUCUCGCAUUCAGAUCCCCGGUGGCGGCGGCAUGCACUCCCGGAUCAUGCACCCCCCCCCCCCCGGCGUUAUAGGGAUGGGCAGCGCAGAUUAGGCCCAGAGGUCGUGGCGUUCAGGGUGUGCCUGGUGGCGGCGCCAGUGCAGCAAGAACCCGUGCUGGGGUUCAACUUCAGUGUAUGGUUGCAGCGCUGGGUUUCACUGAUCGAGGCGGAUAGCAGCGGCUCGUCUUCUGGCUCUGACCAAGAGAUGAGCUCAGUUGAAGAAGAAAUUGAAGAGAGGACGAGUCUCUGCAAUCAGCUGCUACCUAGUGAUCGCAGAUUCAGACACUAAACAUCUGACAUCUUCUGAUUAUUAAUCUGCUCUUUGAUCAACUGAAAACUGAGUAAUGUGGUAUAUCAACCUCUCAUUUUUUUCCCUCGACAGGAAACGAUACAUUUUAGUAUAUGGCAUUUUACUUCGUUAGGAAAUAAAAAUGAUCAGGAACUUUAGAAAUAAAUAUGAUUCUACAUUAUCCAAAAUAAUGUACUUCAUUAGGCAUUAAUAUGGUUUUGAUUAGGCAAUAAUAUAGUUCUUAACCAGGCAAAAUAGUUUACUUCAUUAGGCAAUGUUUAAUUUAGAAUUUAUUUUUAUUUUUAUUGGUUGCCUAAAGUACAAGAUAAUAUACAACUAUCAGCACUGGUAUUUAACACAGAACCUAGUUCCUUAGCCUAACCACCAUAUGGGAGUUAAUGCUAUGUGUGCAGUCAUCUUGAGAGUACAUAGUCAAAAUUUAUUAGGCUAUAAUAUGGGCUAAUUUAGGCAGUUAUGUGGUUCUUAAUUAGGAAAUAAUAUGGCGCUGAAAAGGUAACAAACCUAAUUAGACAGCAGCAACACCGGAGCAUUUUUUUUUACAUGCACCGAAAGCAACUAAAUCUGAAUCGUCAGGCAAUAAUGUACUGUUAAACAGGCCGACUACUUUAUUUUUUUAGACAUUUCAUGUAUGUCAACUUUUUAUAGUUUGUUUAGCAUCAUAAUCAAUCUAAAUUUUUAUCUGCAUUCAAUCAGGCUCUACAACAAUGGAUUCAAAUCAGUUUCUACAUCAAGAGAUUCAACAGUGGAUGCUAGCCCAUCACUGGUCGUGGUGCCGGUCUGCGCUAGGUCGCUGGACGCUCCUCCCCCGCCUGGAUCCGCGCGCUCCCGAGUUGUGGUCGUCUUCCCUGCUCGCAACCUGACCCCCUGGGCACGCGUGCUUCUUGUUGGAGUGCGUUGGCUUUCCAGGCAGCAGCCAUCCCACCACUGGUCACGGUCAGAGAGGGCCGGAUCCGCCGCCCCUAGGUGUGGAUCUAUGCAUCCUAGCCUAGGGGCUACUCCCCCAUUGAUUUUUGACUGCAGCCUGACGACAUCUUUGUCUAGGUGGGCGAUUUUGGGCUUGCUCUUCUUUUGUCGGGGGUUUAAUCUUGGGUGGGUGGGUGGUGUAUUCAUGUUGUUAUUAAUUUGGGUUUCAAGAAUGGAGCUUUAGUUUUGGUUUCUGAAUGUGAAAUGGUUAUCUCGUUCUUUUUCACAUCAUCAUAAGCAUUUAAGUACUUUGGAGUAGGUACUUUUGUCAAAUAGUACAAGCAUUUUCAGGAUUUUCCUAUAGAGAAUUAUAUCAAUUACUAAAAGCAUUUCAUUACUUUUCAGUAGGCAAAUACAUCAAAUAUGAGAAGCAUUUCAGCACUUUCCAGUAGGCAAAUACAUCAAAUACUAGAAGUAUUUUCAUAACUAGGUAAUAAUAUUGGUAGGAAUUGGGCAAUAAUAUUGUUCUUGAUAGGCAAUAAUAUGGAUUAAAAUAGGUAUUUUUCUGUAGAAGGUUACAUGCGGCUUUUGCGUGCUCAGCUGUAGAAGCUGAUCAUCAUGAGGCAACUGUUGUAGCAUAAAGUAUUGUAGUAUGGAUAGUUGAUGCACAUGUAGGAGCCGCUGCAUCAGCACAAAUUGUUGUGCUUGUGCCACAGCUGCAAUAGCAUCAUUAGAUGCUAAAUUCAUUUUUUGAUGUCUAUCAAUGUCUAAAAUCUGAUGUUUGCCAUUCCCAUCUUGUGAUUUUACAUGUUCAUUAUGCAUUUUAUUCCUUUUGUUAAAAGCAUUGUAGGUCAUGGCGUGGUCAUGAAGAGAAGCAAAUGUGCAGUCACUAUUGGUGAAUUGCUUGUGAUGUAGUGCAAAUGCACAAAUAUCACAUCAUUAUAUGCAAAUUAGAAUUAAUUGCUUGCAAGAUCAGAAUUUAGUUAUAACCAUUGCAUUUGCAUAUCAUAUAGUUGUGUCUAGAGAAUACAGAUAUUUGAAACUGUUCAUUUUUAGUUUAGCAUUUUGUGUUUUAAUCUAGCAUUUUUUUGUUCAGAGCUGCCAUCUUCUAUUUCUACUGAUUCAAUUAUUGCUUCAUUCUAGAUUCUAGAGGAGGCUUGAAGAUUUGUUUUCUAUAGUUUAGAUGAGAGUCCCUUCAUUGUUCAGAAUGUAUUAUUUUCUGCCUCCAAGUUUCCUCAUCGAAUCGGCGACGUAACAUGUUCUUCAACUUGGAGUUUGGUGGCCUAAAAGUUCAUCCGAUGAUAAUUGGUAGCAGUUUUAGUUGUAGCUCAACCUCAUUUUUUAAUUCUUGAGCAACUUAGUGGUAGUUGUGGCUCUAAUCUUUUUUGUUUCGUCAGUACAAUAGUACAGGCAAUUAGGCAAUCACAUGUAUGUUGGUAGUUUUGAAAUUUUGUUAAGGCUUUGAAUUUAGAUGGGGAUGAAAAAUGCAUUUGUAUUAUAUGUUCUAAUUUGCUUAUUGUUUUACAAAGAUUUGCUUAUCGGAAAGUAAAA